GACGAACGCUGGCGGCGUGCUUAACACAUGCAAGUCGAACGGAAAGGCCCUGCUUUUGUGGGGUGCUCGAGUGGCGAACGGGUGAGUAACACGUGAGUAACCUGCCCUUGACUUUGGGAUAACUUCAGGAAACUGGGGCUAAUACCGGAUAGGAGCUCCUGCUGCAUGGUGGGGGCUGGAAAGUUUCGGCGGUUGGGGAUGGACUCGCGGCUUAUCAGCUUGUUGGUGGGGUAGUGGCUUACCAAGGCUUUGACGGGUAGCCGGCCUGAGAGGGUGACCGGCCACAUUGGGACUGAGAUACGGCCCAGACUCCUACGGGAGGCAGCAGUGGGGAAUAUUGCACAAUGGGCGGAAGCCCGAUGCAGCAACGCCGCGUGCGGGAUGACGGCCUUCGGGUUGUAAACCGCUUUCGCCUGUGACGAAGCGUGAGUGACGGUAAUGGGUAAAGAAGCACCGGCUAACUACGUG
rnacentral:rRNA from 1 species